UUCGUCUUAUCAACGUAAUGACGUAACUGGUGAAAUAACGAGGCGUAGGCCUAGUGGUGAAACAAUAUUGCGCAAUGUUAUUUUGGUAGAAGGUUGUGGCAGUGAAGGGACUGUGUGCAUGCACUUGAGGGAGUGUGUUCAUCCAGAUAGGCCUGUUUGAAGAAGAGGAAUCGGCUCCAAAACAAUUUAAACAAUGAGUGCGCACACCCAGAACAUGUCACUCGUCAGAAGGCCUUAGCUGACUUUGGACAAUGCCUAGGGACACCACGCUCUGGUCAGCACCAAAACAAACUUCUUCGAAUUCGUCUAUUUAUAGGACCUUUGCAGUAUUGCCAGAUACGCCGGCACCACCUAGGGUCGCCAAAACAAACCAUGUUUACAAUAGAUCUUCACAGAAAAGGAUGCACAUUGGCUCGAGACGACAUUCGAAAGUCGGUCAGCGGGUAGCAUGUGUGCACAGCAUGAUGCACUGUCAAGAUUUUUUACAAUUUGUAAUACAAUUUUUUAAAGGAUAUUUGAUUGACGGGGUGCAAUAGCAUCGGCCAGCAUCACCAUGGCAAUGACGGCAUGAAAGAGGCUUGGCAUCUCCAGCACAUAUCGUUUAAGAUAUGUUUCAAAUCAGUUGCAAAAAAUUUUUUCUACCACUUACAUGUAUUUCUUUUUGUUUUGUAAAUAUGAUUGCAUCGGGAUACCAAAUCUUGGUAACUCAUGUUUUUUAAAUGUGGCAUUGCAGGCCCUCCGUGCCACCCCUGGGGUUUUUAAUGCCACUCGUGCCCACACUCAAGUGUUUUGAAGAAUGUAAAAUCCAGUGUGUGAUAAACAUGUGUAAAGAAACCUUUCGUAAGAAGCCAGAAGAGCUUUACAACAAUCUUGGACUGGGAGAUGGAGGCCAUCAUAAACUUCUUGUAGGAUGAGUUGCCGCAGACAGAGAUGAAAACCAUGAUGAAUGUCCGUGAGCCAGAGGCUAUGAUUUGUUUAGUACAACAAUGCGAGGGACUUAACAAAAUUGAGGCGGAAAUAUUCUUGAGGCAGUGUCGGUGCAUGGAAGAAACGGAAACAUUGGAUUAAGGAUUUAUUUCAUAGUGAAUUACACAGUCACAAAUGGAUUACACACGUUCUGGAUUAGACUAGUUUCUGCUGCAACUGACAUUUUUGCAGGUGCCCACUCGUAGGCGAUUCCUUGAUGUCUUCCUUGGAUUUUACAUGAUAUUAUGUAAUUUUCGCCAACAUCGGGUUUUGGCGCCAAGACGUUUGUUCCUAGAACAGUUGAUUUAAAUGCCGAAUGUGGUCAGUUUUUAUUUAUAUCGCAGGUGUCUACCCAAACAUUUUUAGAUGCUUUCUGCUGAAUCUUCUAUUACUACUGUUUUUACUGGGGUUUCAUCGAUGUUUUUUGGUGGAGUGUGACUCUAAAGUAAUAGGCAGCUUGUUAUGCCCCCGCCAAUGCGUAAAGCAUUGCGGAGGCAUUAUGUUUUACCAAUGUCCGUCAGCCGGUAGGCGUCAGGCGUCUGUAAACUUUUCGUUUCCUCUCAUUUUAACAAGAACGCUUUGAGUAAUAACCAUGUAACUUUUUAUGUGGGUAGAAAAAGAUAACGUGUACAGCGGGCAUUACAGACCAAUAACUCUUUCACGAUGUCAACUAAACCUAGUCAGCUAUGACACCAGCUGCCCGGGGUUGUCUGAAAAACACUUCACUUUCCUAAUACACCAACUCAAAGUGCUCACCGGGGCAUAUGCUAUGCCCUGCGUUGCUCUUGUUAUUGCAGUAGUUUUGUUCUUCCUCUGGUUCACCUAUAAACUAUUUUUCCAAUCUCCAAUCAUGUUUGAUGCUUUAGCCAUUUUGUUUCAGCUCUUAGAUAGUAGAAAAACGUGUUAUUCAUUAUUUCUGGUAGCACAAGUCCUGGCACGAAAUACCUUUCCCGUCAUAAUAUCAGUACCAAGACGUCACAGGGUAGGUCCUAACUCCAGGAAACGCCUUACUCGUGCACUGUUCCACGUGAAAAGGGUCACUGCUUGGAGAGCUAAAUGGGUCAACAUCAGAAAAGCGCGAUAAUUCAGUCUUUGGAAUUUUUCCUUUUUUUGUGCAAUUUGUUGAUGGAAACUACUUAUGUAGAACAGGAGGUGACUGGGCAGCAGACAGCUGGGUAAUAUUGCCCUUAACCCCUCGCCUCCCUAGAGGGGACGAUAUAUCGUCCCUGUAUUUUGUCUCGCGUAGGCGGUACGAUAUAUCGUCCCUAUACUAAUGCUUUAGUACAGAACUCUCGGUACACGUUAGAUGCUAUUGUACAGUGUAUUCGUGUCCCUGGUAAUCUGCAGAAGACCAGAUUUAGUUUCAUUCAUAGUUUACAGAGGGCGCUGCAGUUUGAUUGGCGCUUGUGCAGCGUCACAGUACAAGAACUGAUUAGCAUAUAAAUUAAUAUUAUGUUGUAUUAUUCGAUCAAUCAGUAAUAGACAAUAGUCAAUCAAAGGUUAUCAAUCAAGUUACGUUGAUCAUUAACAGGUUGUAACUGCAUCAAUUACAGUUCCAUAUACUUUGUUCAAAUCAGAAAAAUCAAUCAAUUAGAGCAAAAUCAAUCAAAAAAUAUUGAUUAUUACUGAUUAUUGAUUACUUCUUACCUAAUUGAUACCCAGAAACAACGCCAAUUGAUAGCCAAGGUAAUCAGCUUUACGAAAAUGUAUGGUUUUAUUAGUCGUACUUCCACCUAUCAAAUCCCCGUGUCUUUUGCGCUUACACCUAUGAAUUGUCGUGUCUAAAUAGACCCGUGUGUCAAAUCCCCGUGUCUAUUAGCCCCAUCGAGCUUGAUGCGGCCAAUCGGGGGCUAAUUUAGACCCGUGUUCAACACAGGUUUUUAGCUCACCUCUUAGCAGAGGUGAGCUUAUCCCAUACCGUGGCGUCCGUCGUCCGUCGUCGUCGUCGUCGUCGUCGUCCGUCGUCCGUUAGCAGGGCACGUUUCGUAACUGUUAGAGCUAUUGAGUUGAAACUUGGUACACAUGUACCCUUAUGUAAUGACACCUUGGACACCAAGUUUCGGUCCGAUUCGUUUCAUGGUUUCGCCACCAGGGGGCCAAACGUUAAAAGUGAAAAUAUGCAAUAUCUCCCUUAAUAGUAGUCGGGAAAUUUUGAAAAAAAUAUGGUAGGUACUUCUAGCAAAGGUGCAUCAUAUAUCCUCCGGGUUUUUGAUUUGACCUCCUUUUCAAGGUCACAGAGGUCAAAUGGUGUAAAUUGGCCGUUAGGAUGUAACGAUGGCACGUUUCUAAACUGCAAUGACUAUUGAUACCAAAUUUGGUACACAUUUACCCCUUAGUCAGGUGAUCUCAGGGACCGAAGUUUGGUCCAAUAUGAUUCACCACUUGACCACCAGGGGGCAAAAUCCAAAAACCUUAAAAAUGUGAUUAUUCCUUAACUUCUUGCCCGAUUGCCACCAAUAUGAUAUCAUGGGUACAUCUAACCACCAUACAGUAUAUGUCACACAGGUUUUUAAUUUGACCUUCUUGUCAAGGUCACAGAGGUCAAAUGGCGUAAAUUCGCCGUUAGGCCGUAACUAUGGCACGUUUCUUAACUGCAAUGACUAUUGAUCACAAAUUAAGUACACAUGUACCCCUUGGUCAGGUGAUCUCAGGUACUGA